UACGGAGGGUGCAAGCGUUAAUCGGAAUUACUGGGCGUAAAGCGCGCGUAGGCGGCUGGGUAAGUCGAUUGUGAAAGCCCCGGGCUCAACCUGGGAAUUGCAGUCGAUACUGCUCAGCUAGAGUGUGGGAGAGGGUGGUGGAAUUCCCGGUGUAGCGGUGAAAUGCGUAGAGAUCGGAAGGAACAUCAGUGGCGAAGGCGGCCAUCUGGGACAACACUGACGCUGAAGCACGAAAGCGUGGGGAGCAAACAGG
rnacentral:rRNA from 1 species